GCCUAGCCCCGAUGGAAAUGGCAUCCUUUUUGUCCCGAUUUUUUCAUCGGGAUAAAAAGAUAUAAUGGACAGCGGGACAACUG
rnacentral:sRNA from 1 species